UUUUUUUUCUAGCUAAUUUAGCCUUUUGAACUGAAAUUUAUGCAAUAUCUAGGAAGGUUUUGACUUUAACCAUAUUAAGAAAGCAAAGAUUGUGAUUUUCACAUCUUUUGUAUACCCAGCCAUUAAGACAAGAAUAAUUCACUUUAAUGCCCUUUUCUCAAUGCCCUUUUCUCAAUGCCCUUUUGCAACUCUACCCUUUUUUUUUCCCAUUUUCAUUUCUACCCUUUCUAAUACUUUUCUCCCCAAAUUACCCUUAAUGAGCUACCCACAGACCUAAUUCAUUUCUUCACUCUCUGUCUUCUUCCUCCAUCAGAAAUUGUGAAUGCCGUUGAAUCCCAUACCGUCGGAAAUAAUGAGUUUACUCGCCCUGAAAACCCAUCUUCGCCGUCGUAAGUAGAGCUGUGUGUCGUCGUCGAAUCUCUUGCGUUUCCCAAGUUUGAUUUUAUAAUGUUAGCUUAAAUCUUCGUUUUCGAAUUGGUUUAUUCGAUUUUUGUUGUUGAUUAUGUAAACUCGUUAUUUGAAUCCUGAUUCAAUCGACAGUUUGACAUUUGCUUCAGCUUCGAAUUUGAAUUUUGUUUGAGAUUUGAUGAUUGAAUUUGUUUCUAAAAUCCUUGUACAUUCGUUAUAUUGUUCUAAAAUCCUUUUGAAUUCGUUAUACUGUUUUGUGAUAGAUUUGCUUAUGUGAAUUCGUUAUACUAUUUCGUAAUAGAUUUUGGUUCUGAUUUAGUGUUUACCUCUUUUGCAUAUGCUUUCGUGAUAGAUCUAUGUCACUUACGCUAUAAAACGAUUUGUAAACCAUGUUAACCAUUUUUCAAAGCUUUUAAAAUCCCUUGUAAAUUAUUCUAUGCUACUUACGCUUUAAAACGAUUUGUAAACCAUGUUAACCACUUUUCAAAGCUUUUAAAAUCCCUUGUAAAUUAUUUUAUGCUACUUACUUACGCUUUAAAACGAUUUGUAAACCAUGUUAACCACUUUUCAAAGCUUUUAAAAUCCCUUGUAAAUUAUUCUAUGCUACUUACUUACGCUUUAAAACGAUUUGUAAACCAUGUUAACCACUUUUCAAAGCUUUUAAAAUCCCUUGUAAAUUAUUCUAUGCUACUUACUUACGCUUUAAAACGAUUUUGUAAACCUUGCUUCUCUCUGUAGUGACAGUUUUUUGUGGGUGUUGAUUUUGUUGUUAUUUAUCUUAUCAGGUUAUAAUGCUAGAAUUGUAUUCUGUUUGUGGCUUGUGGAAGUUGACAAACAAUAUGACUUGGGAAUUUGAAUUAGACAUUGAUUUGGGAGCUUCUUUAGUGCUCAUUGAUGAGCACAUUACCUAUCACGCGUUGUUUGAUAUUCUUGUAGAGGAUUUUCAAAUAGAUAGUUCAACCAAUUCUUUGAAGCUUAGUUACAAGUUAGUCUCCACGUCUACAACCAUACAAUCUCAUCCUCUUUAUAUUAGGAACGAUAGACAGCUUGCAACUUUUAUGCACAAAUUCUCACAGAGUGGAGGAUUGCUUCAGUUAUGUUUGACUGUAGAGCAAAUUUCUGUGACAGUUGAGCAGGUUUUUCAAUAACCUUCUUGUGUUAUAAUUUAAAAAAUCCUUGUAAAAUCAUUAUUAAGUCAGUGAUUGUGCUUAUUACAGGCUGAGACUACUUCAAAUCCUUUUGUUUCUCAUUCUGUCCCUAAUGCUCAGGUACUAAUCGUUUUAAAAAUCCUUGUAAAAUCAUUAUUAACGUUUUAAAACCCCUUUUAAAAAUCCUUGUAAAAUCAAAUUAUUAAGUCAGUGAUUGAGUUUAUUACAGGCUGAGACGACUUCAAAUCCUUUUGCUUCUCAUUCUGCAUCUACUACUCAGGUAAUAAUCCUUUUAAAAAAUCUUGUAAAAUCAUUAUUAACGUUUUUAAACCCCUUUUAAAAAUCCUUGUAAAAUCAUUAUUUAAGAUAGAUUGAUGUUUGAGGUAAGCUUUUUAUUUUGGCAGCCGAGGUUAACCUCUAGGAUUAUUGAGGCAUGUGUAUCUGAAACAUCUAGUAUUCUUGAUCAACAGUAUUCUAGUUCUGCGUUUCCAACUGGUCUAAGUGAUGCUGAUUCUUUGUUUAUUGGAA
rnacentral:sRNA from 1 species